GCCUGGGUGGCUCAGUCGGUUAAGCAUCUGACUUCGGCUCAGGUCAGGAUCUCGCAGUUCGUGAGUUCAAGCCCCACGCUGGGCU
rnacentral:tRNA from 1 species